GUCAUGCUAUGCAUGUGCAGUAAGGGCCAGAUGCAUGAGACUGUGCAGUCAAUGCCCAGACUGUCACCUAACCUUUGGUUACUUUCUUUUUAAGACUCUCCAGCCAUCACAAACGAAACUGUGCCCCCUGAUUCCUUUGGACAAGCUCACGGCUCGUCUUCUCCAUUACAUUAUUUCUACCAUAGUCAGCUAUGCCCUAGAUUUGGGAACUGCCGUUGCAUCAGUCAUGGUGAACCUGGCUGCUGGUUUUUAAGAGUCCUGUAGCACAGCAACACUGAAGAUCAGAAUCCCAUUAUGUACAAGGAAUUUACCAAUGAGAAGUCUGGGAAGACAGAUCUGCCAAGGUGCCAGCAUUGCCUCUCUAACAUGCCAGUCUGUGUACCUGCCAUUGCUCCAGAAGCUGGCAAACAAGGUGAUGAGUCUUUAAACCGGACAAACAUUAACAGGAGAAACCACUCUUGUCCUUUCCUGCAUAGUGUUGGAAGAGAUAUGGUCCAACCCCAUAGACCCCCAUUGGUCUUUUUGGUACCAGGACUGAUUAGGGAAAACAUUCCCAGAAAGUACACAAGAGCAAUACAUUUCCUCCACAUUUUAAAGGACAGGGGAUAUUAUUCAUUUUCAUUGCUUUUUAUGAUGGGAUAUUAAUCCCUUCAGAGCCUCCAUUCCUUGUUAUUAGCCCAAUACUUGGGCUUUUCUCACCUGUUUCCCCAGAGAAAAAAUGCUACCUGCAUACUCCAGAGCCAUUACCUUGUACCGAAUGUGUUUUGCUGUUCUCCUGCCUUCUCCAUCUCUUGAAAUGUGCCAACCCUGCUACGCACUGCCUGACCUCUGCUUGUGGGAAAGUGGUCUAGGACAUUUGCAGCUCAUCUUUGCCUUGUGAUAUGGUCACUUGUAUACUCCCAGUCCCUAUUUGGUUGGUGUCAAUACCUAUGGGAGUCUUGCUUUACUUUCCUUACCUACUGGAUCUGGAGAUGGCCCCAGACAGGGCCUUCUGGGGCAACAGAAGGACUUUUUUUACUUGAUGAGUAGACCUUGGGAUUUUGCCAUUCCAGCAUCAGAAUUUAGUAAUACUGGUGAUUUUGUUUGCAAUAGCUACAAUAUUUGCUUGAUGAGCAUCAAACAUAGAGUGGAUCUGUAUUUUUAAUCAUUCAUAUUACUGAUUUGACUUUUAGUGUAGAAACUUUAAUGUAGGUCCUGAUCGCUCGCAGGAGGCAAAGCACUGUGAAAAUCAUAGUGUAUUAGUUUUCAUCAUGUUACAUUACGCCAUUAUCUAGAGAAUGAGGCGAGUCAUUCAGGAAACUAUUUGUAAAGCUAUUGGUCUCACAAAGUUGAGCAGCACUUCACCAAUGUUAAGAAAAGAGGCUAAGCAUGCAUACAUUAAGAGAAAGAUUCCUUUCUCUCCUCCCCUCCCUCAUUCCUACUGAUCUGGAAAAGAAUAUGAUAAUGCAGAAAUGAACUGUCCUCCUUAUUCUGUGUGGCCACUAGUGAUUUGAGCCUAAUAGUCCAUUGGUUUAUUGUUGUAAUUCUGUUGAAGCCAGAGAAACGUACCAGCAGAGAAAGCAGCCCAGUAAUUCAUUGGUCUGGUGACAUCCUUUAGUGGAAAAGACACAGAAUAUCUGUCUUGAAAAAUGCCGCAAGUUUUCUUAAGUGUUUGUGACAGGCUCAAACUUCCCUUCAGCUCAACGUCAUGUGUUUUAAUACAGCAUCUUCAUCUGCAGAGGGGGUUGAUCAUAUUUAUCUAUCUCAAGAGCAACGAUAUGAGGCUGACUUGCUUGGAAGUGCCACGUGGAAAAGGCUACUUUUUUAUUACUAUUUGCGUUAAUUUAUUUUCUUUUAUUAGCUUCCUCAGAUGGAUCAGAGCACUUAGAAGAGACAGGGCACUUUGCACAUGAAGGUACAUUAUUUUUCAUCAUCAUACUAUUGCAUUACACCAUUAUCUAGAGAGUAAAGUGCAUCCUUCAAGUUGUAACAAGCUGUAAUUUCAUGGAAAGCUCCCUAGGAUUUCUGGACCACAAGAGCAAAGCUGCAGCAGUUUAGUUACAGGAGCCAGACAAUCAAAUUACAACCCCUUUAAUAUCCAACUGGGGAUAUACUAUUGCUCUGACAUACCCCAGGUUGGAUUAAGUGUUUCUGAUAUGCCAAAACUGGACAGAUUGUACCUUUUAAGGACAGUUCAAGCCAUAGUAACCACUCAGAGCCAACCUUGGCAUCAGUGUCCUUUCCUGCUCCUUUGACAUAGAGGUCAGAGCUAAGAGUCUGUUUAGCAGUAAAAGGUAUGUUUUUUCCUGCUCCUUAGGAGGCUGUGCUCUACUUGGUGACCCGUGAUGAACAAAAGAGAAGAAGUGCAUAGAGAAAAUGUUUUCUGUAACUGAAAGCAGCUGCUGAGUUCCAGGACCUAUAGGAGCAAGCCACUGGCUGGCAGAGUUUAUGGGAAGUCUGUUUGCUUACAACACACUGAAAGAAUCUUGUUACUCUACAGUGAACUUUUCACAUUUUGCUGCGCUCUUUGCGUUCUUGCUGGUGUUGUAGCUGGGCACAUCUUACUCUCACUAUGGUCUGUGAAUGACUUGUGUGCAUUGAUGGGUGUAGGAUGCAAUGCUCAGAUCAGUCAGAAACGCAGAAAUGUUAUGAUACCUGGAGCCUGGUUUGAGCUCAUUGCUGAAACAUAAGCAGCUGGCUCACUGGUACAGUAAUAUGGCAUGGCUCUAUUUGCAUAUCGGCAUUAGAGUAAUUUCUGGUCUAGGAUUUUGUAAGUUGUUCAUACAGGUACCUGGGACUAAGUGAGCCCCUGAUCAGGAACCACUCUUGGAGCAUUUCAA